UUCCAUGAAUCAACGCCUUGAAUCGACGAUGCCGGAAACGGCACUUGAACCGGAGAGAGUAUCGGCGAUUUCUCCGGAGAAACUCCGGGCAGAUAACCCCACAUAUACACCGCCGUCUCUUUACAUUCCGCCAUUUUCAUAUCUUCCUCUCUUCCGUUCUCAUUAAUCGCCAUCCCGACGAACAAAAUUCCAAAAACGAAGAACAAGAAACUAAUUUCCUCUAAAAUGCAAAUCACAGAGAGCGUGUUAUGAUCAAUAAAAGCCUG
rnacentral:misc_RNA from 1 species